GACUACUGGGGUAUCUAAUCCUGUUUGCUCCCCACGCUUUCGUGUCUCAGCGUCAGUAUCUGUCCAGUUGGCCGCCUUCGCCACCGGUGUUCCUCUUGAUAUCUACGAAUUUCACCUCUACACCAAGAAUUCCACCAACCUCUCCAGUACUCAAGCGAAGCAGUAUCAAGUGCACUUCCAUGGUUGAGCCGUGGGAUUUCACACCUGACUUACCUCACCGCCUACACACGCUUUACGCCCAGUAAUUCCGAACAACGUUUGCACCCUCUGUCUUACCGCGGCUGCUGGCACAGAGUUAGCCGGUGCUUGCUAAGGAGAUACCGUCAUCAUCGUAGAUAUUCACUACGACUUAUUCUUCUCUCCCCACAGAGCUUUACAACCCGAAGGCCUUCAUCACUCACGCGGCGUCGCUGCGUCAGGCUUUCGCCCAUUGCGCAAGAUUCCCCACUGCUGCCCCCCGUAGG
rnacentral:rRNA from 1 species